UUUUACCAUGUAAACCAAUAGUGAAAUCUUGUAUGUUAUGAGGAAGUGGAUAUCGAUCAGGAAUAGUGGCUGCGUUCAAAGCUCGAUAAUUUCCAUAAAGUCUCCAUGAAUUCUGUCCAUUUUUGGGAACAAUAUGAAGUGGAGUUGCCCAUGUACUGCUUGACGGUCGACAAAUUCCUUGUUCUAUCAUAAGGCUGAAUUCAUCCCUUGCAAAUUUCAAUUUUUCUGGAGACAGUCUACGAUGUGUCGAAGCAAUCGGAGGACCUUUAGUAAUAAUAUGAUGUUCUACAUGGUGAAUUUGGUUGUAAAAAUAGGAGCAAAACGAGUUAAUUCAGGGAAAUCAGCGAGAAUCUUAUAAAAAGGAAUCAAAGAAAUGUCAGCUCCUGUAUCGAUUAAAAAAUUAAGUCUUGAGGACUUGUCAAAAAUAAUGAAACGAUUGGUAGGUGAACUGUUGUCAGCCGCCUCACAACUCAAUGGUAGAGUUAGUUUUCCUGAUUAUCAAUUAGAGAUCUAGACAUGUCACAAGAUCUACUACGUGAGCGUUUAAUUUCAAGUGCAGUAAUUCUACAUUCGAGAUCUGUCAAAUUUGAAGUAUUUUCCUUAACUGGGGAAGCUAUUGAUGCUACUUGCAAGCUAGUUUCGCGAUCCAUAAUUUUAUCGGCUAGUUCAGCGAGAUUAAUUAAAGGACAAUCUUCAACAACAGCUAAAGUAGCUUGAACUUGGAAAGGUGGAUUUUCGAUUAUCUCCGCAAUUGCUAAUUACGCUUGCUCAUCAAGAUGCCGAACAACUGAGCUAUAUUUAAUAUCGUCUGAGCGAAUUCGAAAGAUUGUAAAUUCACUCUCUAAUCGAACAAACCACAAUUUAGGAUUCUUAUGCCAAAAAUUCGAUAAUUUCAAAAGACGAAAUUCAUUUGAAUGGAUCUCGUUUGACUUUGUUGAUGAGGCUCACUACCGGUAUAACGAAGAGAUUCCAAAUUAUUUGUUACGUAUUGCUGGAAUUCUUCUGAUGGAAUUGACGCUGAAGUUCCUGAAGUAGCAAUCGGAGAUUUGUCUUCGUAGGCAUCGUAGAUUUUUUUUGAUAUGAAAAUCCGAGUCGGUGGUUUAAAUUCACCCGUGCGGGUACACAAAAUAUUUUCACAAUCUUGUAUCACAUCGGCUGAUCACGUCGGGGUCACCAGUUGUGGCGCGGAUUCAAUAAAUAACUAGACUUCGUAACGUUUGAUAAAGUUUAAUAAGAUAAGUUUGAACGAUGCGUACAA